ACACGACUACAUUAGAUACCCUGUAGUCCUAGCCGUAAACGAUACUCGCUAGGUGUCGGCCACGGUGCGACCGUUGUCGGUGCCGUAGGGAAGCCGUGAAGCGAGCCACCUGGGAAGUACGGCCGCAAGGCUGAAACUUAAAGGAAUUGGCGGGGAGCACCACAACGGGUGGAGCUUGCGGUUUAAUUGGAUUCAACGCCGGAAAUCUUACCGGGACCGACAGCAACAUGAAGGCCAGGCUGAAGACUUUGCCGGAUUAGCUG
rnacentral:rRNA from 1 species